UCUCUCAACAAUAAACAAACAUUAAAAAACAAAACAAAACAAAACUCCUUCUAGUCUUCUCCUUGCAAAGAGGGAAAAAUACAUAACAUUGAGCUCUUAAUGAGAAUGAGAAGGGUAGGAGAACCUUUCCAAGAUUUUUGCUAUAAUACAAAUUCAAUUCCAAGACAGGAGACCAAAGCCUCUUGAAAGAUAAAAAGUUCAAUUCAUACAGAAAGGCUUCCUGAUUCUCGUUUGUGUGUAAGUGGUACAUGUUAGAAGGUUGUUCUAUCAUUAGCUGCCAGAUAGAAUCUGUUGACGAUCUGACUCUGGGACCGUUCAAUGGAAUGCCUGCACAAGUGGUCAGGAAUAAGCUAACUGCUUCUUUAGACUGGACAAACAUUUCUUUUUGGACUACACUCAUGCCUUUCCCAAUGGGACAUUGUCACAUAAUGUUUGCACAAGUGCUUCCUAUUUGUAACUUUGCCAGGACUGUGUCCUGUGCGAUUCUGCUUGUGUACCCAAGAUGCCCCCAGUUGCCAAUAUUCAGACAUCAUUAAUGACCUUACUAACGCCAUUUGAUAAAACAUUUACAUCAUUGCUUGCCUUAUAUCUUAUUUUUGAGACAUAUUGGAAUGUCUGUACUACAUUUCCCCACUUCUUUCAUUUACCACAUAUUUGCUUGAUGGGGUGGUUUUGAGUCGUUGUGUUCUGGUACUUUUAAUUCCCUUUUGGCUAGAACCUAAGUGUUUGGUUUGCAGGUCAUGAGCCUUGCACCUUGGCAAGAAAAACACUGGUAAAGGCACAAUAAUGAGGAGUAUUGCUUAUUAAGAGGUCUCAAGUAGUUCAUCUCCCUGCCGUACUGUUACUUAGGGAAAAGUUCCUUUUCUUCUCUGUACUUCUAUAAAAUGAAGAGUCAGUUUGGCCUGAAGGGUAUCUGCAACUGGUGUCCUGUCUUGUACCAUUUCUACAUAAUUUCAUUUCCACAGUGGUUCUCUUCCAUAGGUUCUGAGUUACCUAUCCUCUGGGAUUAUUUACUUACUCUUUUUUUUUAAGUUUAUUUAUUUUGAGAGACAGAAACAGAGACAGAGACAUGUGAAUGGGGGAGCGGCAGAGAGAGAGAAUCCCAAGCAGGCUCCUCACUGCCAGCACAUGGCCCAAUGUGGUGCUCUAACCCAUGAAGCCAUGAGAUCAUGACCUGAGCUGAAACCUAGAGUUGGAAGCUUACCAACUGAGCCACCCAGGCGCCCCUGGAAUAACUUCCUUUCUUAAUAGAAAUAGCUUCUGCCUCAGAUCAUUGUCACCUCAUGGUCCCCUGAUACUGGCUUAAAAAAUCUGUUUAGAUUCCUGAAUGGCAACUUUUAUCUUGACUUCUGGGCUAUAUGGUCCUUAACGUUGGACUUAGUGGACCUCCUGUUUUAUCUUGGUGUAGUGCAUUUAUGUCUGACCUAUCUUAGAAAUUCCUGUGAGAAUAUUGGUCUGGGACUGGUAAAGGGGAUUUUGUCCUUAGUGCUUCACUCAGGGGUUAGGCUCUUCCUCUUGUUCUGUUUGCUGUGAUCAUUCUUUAUUAAGUAGCCAGCAAAAACAACAUUAAUUCACUUUAUUUACUGUUGAAUGUCUAAUAUGCACAUGCACCAUUUGGACAUUUAAAGGGAUAUAUAUACUGUGCAGCUGUAUCCACUACAGUAUCUAUUUCUUGGUUACCUUCUAAAUAUCCCCAUCCUCAGCUUUAUGGGUGCAUCCUAAUUACUCUGAAGUGGUGUUUCUCAUCCCUGGCUAUGUUUUUUUUAAUCAUCUGAGGUGUUCCUAAAAAAAUGUUCCAGUCCCACCCAGAUAUAAGUGAAUUAGAGUCUCUGAAAGUGGGGAACUUGGGGUUUUAAAAAUUGCUUCCUAAGUGUUUCUAAAGUACAGCUGUGAUGGAGAACCAUAGUCUCAGCCAAUCAAUGUGUUAUGACAAUUUCCCUGGUGGCUGUUAUUGGUGAACUUCUUGUGAGAAGGAGAAUAUUCAACCUUAAAAUCAAAGUGAAUGAGGAAAUAUGUGGCCCCAGUUACUGAUGGCUAUCAUUUCUUGACCAGUCUUAGGAUGAAGGUGAUGCUCUGGAUAAUAAAACAGAGAAAGUGAUCUUUGAUGACAUCUUUGAGCUAUUGAAUUAAUUGAUCCUGAAGUGUGCCUUACCUUUGGACUCUUGUUAUGUGAGAAAAUAAACUUCUAAGUCAAGGAAACUGGUAUUAGAGAGAUUUAAUGAUUCAUGGAAGAAAUGAAAACCCAAGACUUGAGGUUCAGUGUUCUUCCUGUACAUUCUAUGAAGUUACCCUCUCAAGAAAUUGGUGAAUAUAGAAGAGAUGAGAAAACAGUACCUGCUCCCAAGAAAAUCACAGUAUUUUUGAGGGAGACAAACCACAUUAUAGAAAUCUAACCAAAUGACCAUUGUAACAAAUGCCAGCAGCAUGUUCAAGUUUACAAAGACUUUCAACAUCUAUUGCCUCUUUUUAUCUUCUCAAUAAACUCUUAGGCAAGGAUGUUUUUAUACCUACUUUACAACUGAAGAGAUUGAGUCUCAGAGAAGAUGUACUAUUUGCCCAAGAUGAUCCAGUUGGUAACUGAGCUAAGAACUGAACCCAGAUCUCACAGCCUCUUGCUGUUAAUGACCUUUAUGUUUUGGAAUUCCAUUAGCUCUUCCUUACCUGGAUAUAGAGACAUAAGGAUUCAGAAGAAAGUAAUGCUCUACUGUUCUCAGCUGCAAUAGUGACUUGGUAUGCAUCUGGAUUUACUCUACAUGGGGAGUUGUGGAUUUCUGUUCAAUCUGGAAGGUGGAUGAAGUUUAUAGAAAUUGUUGAGUUCAAGGGAGGGAAAUUUUAUUUUGGGAGAUUAGAGUGUAGGGUUUCUGCGGAGGAUUUAAUCUGGUUAAAUGGCUCAAGAUUACCCAUCAAUGGGAUUUGGGUUCAAUUGUAGGAGCAGGUGGCAUACCCCUGUUUUAUUUCUAUAUUUGUUUUAUUGUCUCAUUUUGUGCACUUUUACUCAUCCUUUUCUGGGUACAACAACCACAUUCUUGAUAAGCACAGAAUAUGUGGAAGUUCCUGCAAUCCGUGUUCUAGAACUUUCUACGCUUUCCCUGAAUCCCACCAAAUUCAAGGUAAACUGAUUGCCUCCAUCUGUAAACUAACCUUUUUUCUGCAACUAGUUUUCCCCUAACUUCCCACAGGAUAAAAAGAACAGCCUAGCAAUCUUCCCUUUGUAUUGCUCAUAAUUCUGAGAAGAUAGCAAACCAAUUAAAUAGUGCAGCUGUACAAACAUUCCAACUAUAAUCUAUGAAGUUCAGAUCGUGAACACAUUUUCAUUGUCUUCUUUCCCCAUAUGGAAUCUCAUUGUUUCUUUUAAUUAUAUUUUAAAAAUGUGUUUCUGUAAGAUGGAAUGUUCUUUAGCCAAAGUAAAUUUAAGCUACACUUGCAAUGUUGAAAUGAAAAUUUUGAGGGGAAAACAUUUUUGGGAGAAAAUUUAUUCAGAAUAAAUAAGGGUCUUUGGGAAUGGAAACAAUUGAAUUUCUGAGUCUAGUUUAGACUAAAUCAGCAGAAGAUUCCCUUUUGUGUUUUUCAGCAAUUACCUAGUGGGAUCACCUUUUGGGAUAGGCGCCUAACUUAGGAACCCAGGUCACUCUGUUAAAGAUAGAAUCAUUGCACUGAACAUUUAAGAGCAUUUACUAUAAAGCAGAGCCUACUUCAAGUACUUUGUGUGAGUUAUGCUUUUUAAUCUUCAAAAUGGCCUAAUGAUGUGCUCUUUGUUACCACCCCCAUUUUGCAGACAAGGAAACAAAGGUAUAAAGAGGCAAACUGGGAGAAAUCAUUUCCUGGAAGCAAUCAGAGAAAGAGAAGUAAGUUUUGCAGCUCUAUUUUGAACAUGUGGACAAAAUUACCUGUUAACUUUUGUUUCUUUCACUUCAUGAUUGUUGAGACGUUUUCACUUUGCAUGUAAUAAAAAAAUAGAACCAUCUGUUGAACAUUCCAUAUUCCAUACUUUUGACUUUAUUACAUCCUCCUAGAAAAUACUUCAUUGAGUCUCAAGGACAAAAAUCAUUCUUUUUUUUUUUUCUCCAGUUCAUACUUGUAACCCUCUAGAAAGUGACAUAUUUUCAAAUGAAUUGCCUCAACUGGUUGCUUAUUGUUCACAUGCUCUGCUGUAUUAGGAAUGUAGCUUUGCUCCUCCUUGGAAGACAAGUAGUGGGUUAGUGCUGGCUAAUGAUGAAAGGAAUACACUUCUUCUAGUUCUUGAUGUUUCUUUCUAUAAAUCUGACUUUUCCCAUAGCAUUUUUAGAUACUUUAGGGAUGGGACGCAGAAGAAAAAUGACUUUUCAAAGGUCGUGUGUUUGGAGAGCCAGAGCUGGAGUCACUAUCUUAGCCUACACCACGUCCAGCUAAAUUCCUCCCCCUCUGUCAUCUUGAUUGCUUCUUAAUCAUGGUAGAUACUAGUCAAGCACGAAACUGUGCUUUCAAGUGUGAAAUCCUUCCUUAAGGAUUUGCCAUUUGUAUAUAUUUUUGGAAAUGUACCAAAUGUAAGACCUGCCAUAUUCUGAAGACCUGAGGAACUCCUGCUCUGGCUUCUGUCCAGUUCUGUUGAUCAAUAUAACCAGGGAUGAUAAAGCUUUAAGAAGUUGAGUCACACCAGUAAGACAGGAGAGAGAAUGCUUGACAAAUGGAGAUGAUAACUAGCUAAUUUGCCCACUUUGACCUUUUGUUAAGUACUGCCUCCAUUGAGCCAUUAUUCCUAUAUUUCUUGGGGGAAUGCUAUAAGAAACAUCCUUAUGAAAUCUGAUACUACAUUUGCAUGUUAUUAAGGGGGAUGCUAUUAAGGAAGUUGCCUAUAACAUGGAUCAGUGCCCCAUUAGGUAAGUCCCAUGUGAGAAUUUGCAUUUAGUUCUAAAUGCAAAGAAAAGUCCUGCUUUCUCUGAGCAGCCAUUUCAUCUUUGUUUCUCCCUUUUUAACAACAAAAGUCAAUCAUAAUUUCCUUAUCUCUUUGGCUAACUUAGAGAGAAAAAUGAAUUAUAUAAACACUUAUGAUCUGAAUGCUCACUUAACUCCCUCCCUACACAUGCCUUAAAUUUUUCCAAGAAUGAUUUUUUAUUAUUAUUAUUGAUAGUUUACUAUUUUAUUAGAUGUGUUUUUGUUGUGUGUUGCUUAAAAUUCUUUGUAAAAUCUAGUUGGGGUAUAAAAUAUCUAUUAAAAAUGUAUAAAUUGUGAGAAUAACAACUGUAUGAGGAAUGGGUUUUGUCCUUUAUCUGGGAGAAACUUGAUGAAACCAGAUUUCUUCUUAUAAAAGACAUUCUUUUUAUUUUUUCUAUUAGUGAAGAAAAUUUUUUCUCUACCCUUUUAGGUUGCUGAUUGGAGGCCUGCUAAUUAAACUGAUAAAAGAUCAGGAAGAGAGAAGACAGGUUUUUAUUUGUAUAUGUGCAUGGGUGUUCGCAGAAAAUGUGACUCAGGAGGCAGUUAGAAUUGGGGGCUUAUAUACCAUCUUAAUAGGAGAAGGGGAGAGGGAGAAAGGUUCUUCUGGGAAAACAAAUGCCUUUUAGGAAAGAUAAAUGAGCCUUUAGAAGAACAGAUGGAUGAUGUGAUAGUUUUGUGAUAAUGUCUGUUUAGGCAGUUUCUUAUCCUAGUGCCAUAUCUUGUCUCUGGUGAUAGGGCUCAAUCUUCCCUGGUUAUGAAAGUUCUGAAGGAGUGGGUUUAUGUCAGAUGAAUUCUUUUGGGAGGGUAUGCUUUUAUGCAGGUAAGGGGAAUUUAGAAAAAAAAACCCAAAUAUUCUUCACAGUGGUAUGUUCUGGAUUUCUUUGCUUCAAAGAUCAUUGCCCUCAGCAGGGAAAGUUAAUUGGGUAGACCAUUUGAUGUUGCAAAGUUUGUGGGUUAGAGUGGGCUCCAGGUAUGUAUUUCUCUAGGUUUUAGUCAAAUCCGAUAGUUAAACACAUCCUUUCUUAGCUGGUUAUUGUACUGUAUCCUCUGAUAGAACUUCCAGAGUGCUUGUCUUACAUUCUGAUUUUCUCAAACUCUGUUUCUCUUCCCCAACUCACCACACAGACCUUCAGGAUUAUGGAGUUCCUAACAUCUCAUUUUCUGUUUUUCCAGUUGUAAAUGUAUUCUCCCUUAUUGCUUCAAAUGACAGAUUUGUGUUCAUUUUGUAUGAGUUAAUGCCUUUUUCAAACACCAGUACUACUUAGCACUUCUCAAUAGGGUAGAGCAGCCAUUGUAUUGAAGGAAGUCUAUAUCAAAAGGAGCCCUUUCUUUGCACUUUUACUUUGCUUUAUGCUUACUUUUGGUCUAACUAGGUUCAAGGCUCCUAAUUACUUUAUUCUUGACAGAAUUGGAGAGUUAAGUACUAAUAGGGGUAGAAGUUGAUUGAGAUAUGUAGAAUUUGCUCAACCAAAAAUACAUAGUACUUUAUAAAAUGUCCAAAGUACAUUCCUAGUCUAUAUACUUCUUUUAGUCUAAACUAUUAUACUGGUUUUUACACUGAUUACAAAUCAGUUCCUAUUUGUACUGCAAUAAUUUCCUAAACUAUGACUUUGCUUUCUUGUAUCUCUUUCUUGCACCCCAAUCCAUUUGUCCUGUAAUGUGGACAAUGUGGUCUUUUAAAGGUAAGAGAGAUUAUUAAAGGUCCAAAACCUUUCAUGGUUAUCCACUGUCCUUAGGAUAAAACCCCAACUUCUCAGCAUAGCCCACAAAGCCCAGCAUGACUUCGGCCCUGCAACUCACCUUGGGCCUCAUUUCAUAUCAUCUCCCAUUGUUCAUUGCUUUCAGGCCAAACUGGCUACCCUUCUUUAACUGAAGUUCUUGCCUAGGGCUUUUGUACAAGGUGUUUCCCUUUGUCCAGAUUUUCUCAUGGUUGGUUUUCAUCGUUUGAGUAUCACCUUCCCAGAAAACCUCUCUCUGACCACCUUCUCUAAAAUCGCUCUCUCUUACCCUACUUUCUGUCACUUCCCCUUGUUUUCUUCCUAUCACAACUUCUAUCUGAAAUUCUUUCUUGUCCAUCCCCUCCACAGAAUGAAAACUCAGUAGGAUUAAGACACUGUCUACUUUAUUCUUUGCCAUGAUUUUAUUACCUUCAUUAAUAUGUACUCAUUGGUGAUUUAUUGAGUGAAUCCUGUCAAAUAGAAAAAAAUGAUUAUAUUACUUUCUAAAUCAUUAGAAUGAUGUUUCCUAAUUAAAUAGUAAAUUAAUGGAGCAGAUGUAGAAAAUUGGUUUUGAAUUUAUUGUAUAUGAAUAUUUUGAAAAUAAUUUCACUCAAAUGCUUGGGAAAGCUUUCAUAAAAAUUUUUAAAAUUUUGAAAUAAGCAUAAACUUUCAGAAAGAAGUACAGUACCAGAACUAUCUUUUUUUCAGAAUCAUUUGGUAGGUAGUAUUGUUACUUACUCCUGAAUAUUUUUAUGUGUAAUUCAUACUUAAAGGAUCUUGUCCUAUUUAACCGAAUUCAACCACCAAAUCAGAACAUUUACAUUGAUACGUGACUCUGGUAUUUUUUUGGAAUUCAUUCAAGUUUCAUGGUUGUCCAAUAAUUCCACUUACAACUCCUCCCCUACCCCAACACCCCAAAUCCAGUAGAAUCCUUUGCUGCACUUAGUUGUCAUUUCCCUUUAGAUUUCUUCACUUUGGAACAGUUCUUUAGUCUUCUUGACUCUCAUAAUCUGGACACUUUUGAAAAUAAAAGGCCAAUUAUUUUGAAGGA